CAAUUCUCAGGUUGAUGUGACAUUGACAGAUCUACGUGGCAUAGCUCUUGAUUCAUGACAUGUACACAGGUACAUGUCAAUCAUCAUAAUUAGAAUUAUUGUCAUUGUACAAAAUUAAGAUUAUUUUUUUUUCAAAAUUAAGAUUAUUAAUGUUUAUCCUGGUCUACAUCGCCAAGAGUAAAAAAAAGGCAUAUCUUUUGGACCUAUCUACAACAUGAAAAUGACUCUGAGUGAGGAUCUUUCUAUAGAAUCUUAAGAUACAUAAGCAUACAGAUAAAUAUUGAAAACAAGGGAAAUCUUACAACUACCCCAUAAACUUUCCAGAAGCAAACAUUGAAAGAUUCAACACAGAAGCACUUUACUUCUAGGGGAGAAAGGAAAAAAUCAUUCUUUUUUAAGAUGUACUCCUGGUCCUCUCAUCAUUGAGCAUAUAUUCCCCAAGUUCAGGAAAGGGACGUUCUCUGAAGUCCAGGACUAUGGCGCCAGCAGACUGGGUAUGGCAGCUGGAAUCUGCCUCAGUCAACUAAUCCCUAAGAGCUGAAGAAGAACACGUUUCUCAGAUUAAUUCAGAGACUGUGGAGAGAAGGGUUAUGAAAUCUGCUAAUCUUAUUGGAUUUGGGAGCCAAUGUCCAGUCGGGAGCUAGUUACAGAAAAAGGAUCUAUUUGAGGAAAGAUGGAGAUUUUUUUUCAAAGUAAACUGCAUGUUCUGUCACUGUGAAAAUUAUAGCUGUACCUUAAAAGAUAGUAAACUUCUCAUGACCACCUUAUUUUAAAUAAUUCUUAAAUGUAAAUCCUCUAAUCCUUCAUGAUAGCAUUUGCCUAUGCUGAAAUACCUGUUAGUUUUUUGUAAAAUAUGCAUAACUGAUAAGAUUCUAUCUUACUGAUUGGUAGAAAAGUAAUACCCUCACUUAGGAUUUGUGACCAAUCUGAACAAGUCACACAUCUGAAAUGGGAUGAGAAUCAACACAUCAGAUGUAUUUCUGAAUGUUUAACUGUAACAUCUCCAUUAAAUUUGGAGAAGAAAAUCUAUCAUAUUUAAUUUAAAUUUUGCACCUGGACUCCAUCUGAUAAAAUAAAUACACAGAAUCUUAUGAAUGAAAAGUUUUUAACAUUUUUUAGUAGUUUCUUAUGUUUUCCACUGGUUUAUUCAUUCUUUUUCUUUUAACAAAAAUGAAGUAAAAAUGGGUAAUUCCGUGUCAUUUUGUUUUUACUCUGUUUCCUACAGGUCAUAUUCAGAACUGACUAAGCACCAUAAGUGUUCAACAGAUUUUGAUCUUAUUUUUAUCACAUGCCUCAUAAAACUGAUUUAGAAACCUAAAAAUGUGUCACUAAAAUAUUGAAUUAUGAACAGUCAGAGCUUAUUGAAUUUCCCAAAUCUAACGAGAAUGGUUAGCUAU